GUGGCACUGCCACCUGGAGCAAUAGUGAUAUCCAAACCUGGCUGCUGCUGCAGACCAUAUCUGAGUUUAUGGUUCUAUCCCAGCUAGAGUCUGUGUUAAAGUACCAGGCCUAUGUUGCCACUAAAUGUUACCUGGAAGCCUGAGGAUAGAGCCAAAAUCUGUGACUUUGGUGUCUGGUCACCAUACUUGCUUGAGUGGCCUCUGCUUCUACCCAGAGCCAGGAUGUCAUUUAGGCUCAAGCCUCAAGCUGAGGGCAAUGUCUAUAUCUGUGGCCCUGCUACAACAGGGUUCUGUGUUUUUGUUUGUCCCAUGUCAUCUCAGGGGAUGAUAUAAACUGUGUCAUGUAAUCAGAGGGCCAUGCUGAGCCAUCCCUACACUUGGCUUGCCCCAGGAUAGCUGGUCCUGUUUCUCAUUGGACAUUUAAAGAGAACUACCCCUACACCUGCACUCUGGGGAUAUGGCCCCACCCCUCACCAUUGGUGAAAGAGGAUUUACCCUGAUAUCUUGGCCAUAAGGGAGCUAGUUCCACCCACCCCUUGCCUAAGGGAGGAAGCCCUAGUUGCCUGGACUGACCAGGUCAACUACUACUCAGACACAGCUGGGCCUGGAGUUGGCCCACUCUAACAUCUACCCUAUUUAGGACUUACUGAAACUCAUGAAGGGACUGGUCCUAUGGAACAAUACUUCAGGAUCUCCAUGACUUGGGGUAACUGUAGGAUAUCCAAGAGGAGUUUUGGUGAAGAUUCAAUGAUGAUAUACUAGAACUCAGAGGCCUUGAACAAAACCAAUGACCCAUUGCAAUGAAUAUUUGCAAGUAAACCUGAUUGGACAAAAGGGUAUACUUUGAAACACCAAGGCUCCAAACACCACCAAGACAAAUAAGGUGUUGGAAAGGUGGGAAAGAUGAAAGAGCAAAGAGAUUUUGUUUUGUUGUUUGUUUGCUUACCUAUUUUGUUUUGAUUUGAUUGUUUAAUUUUCUUUUGGUAGGAGGGUUGUGCAGGGAUAAGGUGAAGCUACAACUGGACUGGAAGGAUCCCCUAAAGUUGCCACCACCCUCAGACAGCAGGAAGAAACUUUAAGAACAUGAGACACAUAUUUCCAAGAGGACAAAGAGACAUGUCUUGCUCCUGACAGCAACAAUCUACUUGAGAAAAGAUAAUGGACAUCAAAGAAACUUUACAUGGAGUUUACUUUCUUUUGGCAACAGAUAACCACUGGUCAAAAAAGUGUUCUUGCCUUUCUGCUGACAAUAUGCUGACCAAAUAGGACAAACAGGACCCAAAAGAAAAGACUGUUAGACUUUACCAAGACAAGGUAAGACAGCCAUUCAGAAUACUCUGCUUCACAGAAAAGUCUGUCAGAUAUUCUAGGCCAGUCGGCUGAAGAUGGAUGUCAGAACAUUGCAGAGGAACCUUGGGUCACAAAUUUUGCAAGUUGCUUACUUGCAUUUCCUGCUUACACAGGUAAUAUUAUUUCCUUCUUGAACACUCCAUCAGAGUAUAAUUUUAGUUUCUCUUGUUACCAGAUUCAGAAAAACAAAUCACUAAAGAGAUGUAAAGUAUGUAAGGUUAAGAGACAUUGAAAGAUAGUUUUGGGCCCAGGGGGUAGUGGCACACACCUUUAAUACUUGCACAUAGGAGGCAGAGACAAGAAAAUCACAGUGAGUUUGAUGCCAGACUAGUUUACAGAGUGAGUUCCAA